rnacentral:rRNA from 1 species
GCUUGCACCUCUUGAGAGCGGCGGACGGGUGAGUAAUGCCUAGGAAUCUGCCUGGUAGUGGGGGAUAACGUUCGGAAACGGACGCUAAUACCGCAUACGUCCUACGGGAGAAAGCAGGGGACCUUCGGGCCUUGCGCUAUCAGAUGAGCCUAGGUCGGAUUAGCUAGUUGGUGAGGUAAUGGCUCACCAAGGCGACGAUCCGUAACUGGUCUGAGAGGAUGAUCAGUCACACUGGAACUGAGACACGGUCCAGACUCCUACGGGAGGCAGCAGUGGGGAAUAUUGGACAAUGGGCGAAAGCCUGAUCCAGCCAUGCCGCGUGUGUGAAGAAGGUCUUCGGAUUGUAAAGCACUUUAAGUUGGGAGGAAGGGUACUUACCUAAUACGUGAGUAUUUUGACGUUACCGACAGAAUAAGCACCGGCUAACUCUGUGCCAGCAGCCGCGGUAAUACAGAGGGUGCAAGCGUUAAUCGGAAUUACUGGGCGUAAAGCGCGCGUAGGUGGUUCGUUAAGUUGGAUGUGAAAUCCCCGGGCUCAACCUGGGAACUGCAUCCAAAACUGGCGAGCUAAAGUAUGGGAGAGGGUGG